GUCCCGCCUGCCCUGUGUUUUUUCCACUUUCGGCCGCGCGGUUUUUGCGGGUCGAGGGGCGCAACCUUGGUCUUUGCGGUACCUGGAUUGUGGGCUUUGAGGGGUUUACUGGCUCCUUCUUCUGGGCCUCCGAACUGGACCGCCCCGGGCAAAACCGGGAAUAUAUCCCUAAAAGAAAAAAACCUAUGGAACUUUUAAACCCCACCACCCACCAAGAUAUCCCCCAUGAAGGUACGCCCCCCAACUUAAUGGCGCCAUGUCCUACUGCCUUCGGUUGGACCGACCAUGAAUAAGCACACCCCCCCAAUGCUGAAUAUGAGGACCUCCCACUAUCUUCCCCCUCCUCCCAUAACAAAAAGCUUGAACUCUAAUGAACAGAAUUUCUGACCAUACAUGAACCGGCUUACCCCGAUCAACGGACCAAGUUACCCUAGGGAUAACAGCGCAAUCCCCUUUUUUGCCCAUAUCAAGUAGGGGGUUUACAACCUCGAUGUUGGAUCGGGACAUCCUAAUGGUGCAGCCG
rnacentral:rRNA from 1 species